GCCUCCAUCUAUAUAGAUACAUGUAUACAAUAUAUAUCCAUACACAGAGAAGUACUCCAUGAUUUCUUCCCUUCUCUUAAACACAGUUAGCCGACCCACUAUUCUUUUUCUCUCUUUCGGACCAACCCUUGGUGUGGACGUACGGUGGAGAUUUAUAAAGAAGUUGUCGAUGAUGAUUAGCAGAUGAGGAUGAGUGGUAUGGAUGGAUAUGAUGGGUAUUGACUGUGAGAUGAUGAUGGUAUGAUCAGGUUCUCUAUCAAGGGGAUUAGAUCAAGUGUAUAAAGUUUUGACCUCGAUGGUGAACAUGGAUAAAGGAAUUUGAGAUGAAUUCAAGUUGAGCAGGAAUUAAAUUGACUCAUUGGAGAUUUGAUAUUUUGAGAGUAAAUGAUUGUAAUGUUAUUUGCAGUUUAUGUAUUAAGUUGAAUUUGGAUUAUUCAAUUUAAGUUGUAUUAUUAGCCUUAGCGUUUGGGUAUAAGAGAGAUACUUGAGCGUGACGGUAACACCCAUUUAUGUUGGUUAGUUAAUGCUUCCGCUAUGUAAUUAGUG